UCCGAAUCGUUUGUGAAUCUCAUCACUGUUAGAAAUCCAAGAGAAGAGAUCCUCUUCCCUUAACAUCAUCAGAGGAAAAAUCUGCUUCUUAAUCAAUUAGUUUCAGCGUUUGUCUCUUCUCGAGCAAGGCGUGGUGAGACACUUUACACAAGAUUUACGUAAGAUUAAUGAAUUGAUUGUUUCUUCUGUAAUGUCACAGGUUCCUGCUCAUCAUUGCUGUUUUUCCAUUAAUGAAAAUUAAUGAUCUCUGUUCUGCCUUUUUCCACGCACAUGAGGAGAUAGCGUUUGGACUCAAGGUUUCAUUUGACUCUCCUGCUGUUUGUUUGUUUUUUCAGCUGUAAUUCAUAACGUGCUCUGUGACCUUCUCCCUCCCUCAGGACUCUGUGGUCUGUGUGUUCUGGUAUCUGCUGAAAUCACCAGAAAUCUGCCAAGACACUGACACUUGCGCCUGCUUCAACAUCUGCCGCAUAAGGGCUUUAAGGUUUCCAGAACCAAGCUGCAAUAUUGCAUGGACACUUAAGUAUUUGAACUUUUGCACUGAUGUCUUUUCUGGGUCAGAAAAUGGAUCCCUGACUGCUCUUUAUAUGACAAGCUUCUCCGUUCCGCAAUCUCUCAUCACGAUCCACUGCAACAUCCUUUGACCUGGACUGACGCUAUGGUGGUCGCUUAUCACUCCCUCAGAAGCACCCUUUGUUCCGCCCCUGGGUUACCUGCUCACUUCAAGCCCUUCCACCUCUAUGCCUGUGAACACCAGGGCACAGCCUCUGGGGAGCGUGGGGGGGGAAUGCAUCAUUGUGCGUUUUUAUCCAAAACAUUAGACAUUGUUGCUCAAGGCUUACUUGCGUGUCUGGGAGCUGUCUCCACAUGUGCUUUGAUGGUUUGAUGGUUGCAAAAUUGACAGACCCAUUAAAUUAAUUAAUCAGUAAUUUAAUAGAUAAUUAAAUUAACAUAUGACUAUUUAUUCUCUGUUCCACUAACAAUCUCGAAAUUCGUGUCACAUCCUCUUUUGAUAAUGUAGGUCGCGCUCUCGCACGCCUCCUUAAUUCUCGGGAUGAUACUUGAGAUGGCAUUGAUAUUGUCUGUCUAAAAAUCGCACAUACUACUAGUAUCAGGUCUGAUCUCUUCCCUCCAGCCCUCUAGGGAUGGGGGAAGUACUCUUUGUUGAUGGUUAUUCUGUGGUUAUUCUGUGUGUUCAACCAAUAUCAGCCUGAUAUUCUGCAUGAGACAUACGCUCUUUCUUUCUCAUUUGAUUUUUGUCAUCUUGAUUGUGGACAAAUUCUCUAAAUGGGUAGAAGUUUUUCCCUGUUCUCGAGAGAACACGAAGGUAGUUACUCGUUUUGAUACCUAGUUAUAAUAAUAAUAAUGAUACAUUUUAUUUAUAAGUGCCUUUCAAGGUACCUAAGGACACUGGACAGUAAAAUAAGAAAAACAAACAAUAAAAGCAGAACAAUAAAAUAACAACAAUAAAAUAAUAAGAAAUCAAUAAUAAUAAUAAUUAUUAUUAUAGUUAUGGGGUUUCAAAUGCCAUAGACUCAGACAAGGGUACCCGUUUUACCUCAAAAGUCACACAAAACCUUUGUAAGUAUCUCUAAACUAAACUGGUGUUUUCACAUUCCUAAAUCCUCUGGUAUCGUAGAACGUACUAAUCGAACAUUGAAAGACAAAUUAAUUAAGGUCAUGCAGGACACAGGUUUGGUUCUGUAAUCCAUAAUUCAUUCUGGCUGAAAUUCGUAUGACACCAAGAAAUUAUCUUUGGAAUAAUAUUCUUCCCCUGGAAGAAGGGAACUCCAGCUCCGGGUACCUCUGAUUUGAAAAUGCAUAUGGAUGAGUAUUCUGCAGCCCUUAUAGAUAAGUUGCAUAAAAUUUGUACCAAGGUCAAUAAUACAAUAUCUCCACCACACACCCCUUUCACGUGGGAGACAGGUGCUGGUGUGACUUUUUAAAGUAAUGAUUUUGACAAUUGGGAAAACAAUAUAAUGGGCCUGCAGAGAUAGUCGCCAUUACUUUUGCUGCUGUUUUAACUGAUCUUUUUCCACAGUGGAUCCAUGCCAUGCGAUUGAAGAAGGCUCCAUAACAAAGUUGUGUUACAAUGACAAGUUUGCUACUAACGUUUUCUCUGUGUCCCGAGAAUCUUUGUUCUCUCUCUCUGUCUCUCUAUUUCUGAGCUCUACACAGAUUCGACUGAGAAUCCUCAAGACGUUGUGAACAAAGAGGGGAAGAGAUCUUGCGCCCCAUUUGGAACCAAUCAUCCUCACUACAACCAUGACAGUCCUCAUCACGGGUUUCAUGACUUCAUUGUUGCUCGGGGCAGGGCUACCCGCCCGAGCCUUCGUGACUGCUUCAUCUUUGCUCGGGGCAGGGUUACCCGCCCGAGCCUUCUGGACCACUUCAUUGCUUGGAGCAGGGUUACCCGCUCGAGCUGGACUUCGAGACAACAUCUUCUGGACUAACUUCGCUAACUGGACUGCACAAGCACACACCACACGAAUGUGUUAUGUCUUUCAUCUGAUGCCGUUUUCUACUAUUAUUACACAUCUCUAUGCUCUGAAACUCUGUAUUCUUACAGGACUCUGUUCUCACUAUAGGUCGAUAUGCCCUAUAAUUCCCUUAUAGUACCCUUCUAAUUUCAUUUUUCCUCACUGUUUUAGAACAAAUUACUCUGAAGGAAGUAGCGUGUAUUUGAGUUUCUCUAAGCUCCGGUGAGGUGGGACGAGGGCUGAUCGGGCAUGCCCGCCCUCUGAGCACCAAUAUACGUCAAGAAGGGCAAAGAUUAACUCAAGAUUAAUUCUCGAUGUAAUCACAUAUAUGAUCAUGAGGUGAUAAUAUAUGGUCCUAGGAUUUGAUAAUAAUGAUACUAUUAUCAAAGGGGGGGAUUGUUAGGUUUAUAUAAGUAUUAUUCUUGACCAAGAAGGCAGUAAUUUAUUAAAAUGGUGAUUCAUGGUAAUUUAUUAAAAUUAAGGAUUAAAUUUAAGGUUCAGUUAAAAAUGACCUUCUGUCUUGGCUGGACAUUGUUUGGGAACAUUUUGUUUAUGAAAUGUGUAUUUUUGAUCAGAGAUGUGUCUGAACGACGCCAAGGUCUGUUUUGAUGUCAGAUCGACCCACACACACUUUAAUGUUGGAUGUAAUGGUAGCCUUAUUGCUGAACAAAGAGUUAAGACUUUAUAUUUUAGAGCUUUUUAAGAUCCUUUAUUAUUUUGGACUAUUGCAUAUACUAUGGCAGUGAUUUUAAACUGUUCCUGUGUAGCCUGACCUUCGUCCAGUGGAGAAGAACACUUUUGUUAGACCAAACAUAGUCUUUGUUUAAAACAUUGUCGUAAAAACAUCUCGCGUGCUUUGACGUGCGUAAAUGAAAUUGCUGAAUUGCUGAAAUAUUAUUUUGCUUAUGAUUGAAGGUUUCAUUCACACACACACACAUACAUAUGGAAUUAAGAUGUGAUUUGCUGACCUAGCACAUAGACACAUAUCAAAAUGAUGUCACUCACUCACACCCUCCCAUAGAGACACACACACAUACAAACACACACACAUUUGAUAGACACAAUAGCCGUUUGGAGAGAUUAUGAUUUGUUAUAAAAGGUGUUUGUAAUCUUUCAUCUUUGGCGAGAAUACUGUGAAUAAACAGUAGUUAAACCGA